rnacentral:rRNA from 1 species
GACGAACGCUGGCGGCGUGCUUAACACAUGCAAGUCGAACGGAAAGGCCCUGCUUUUGUGGGGUGCUCGAGUGGCGAACGGGUGAGUAACACGUGAGUAACCUGCCCUUGACUUUGGGAUAACUUCAGGAAACUGGGGCUAAUACCGGAUAGGAGCUCCUGCUGCAUGGUGGGGGUUGGAAAGUUUCGGCGGUUGGGGAUGGACUCGCGGCUUAUCAGCUUGUUGGUGGGGUAGUGGCUUACCAAGGCUUUGACGGGUAGCCGGCCUGAGAGGGUGACCGGCCACAUUGGGACUGAGAUACGGCCCAGACUGCUACGGGAGGCAGCAGUGGGGAAUAUUGCACAAUGGGCGGAAGCCUGAUGCAGCAACGCCGCGUGCGGGAUGACGGACUUCGGGUUGUAAACCGCUUUCGAAUGUGACGAAGCGUGAGUGACGGUAAUGGGUAAAGAAGCAACGGCUAACUACGUG